rnacentral:rRNA from 1 species
CCUACGUGAGGCUGCAGUGAGGAAUAUUGGUCAAUGGGCGAGAGCCUGAACCAGCCAAGUCGCGUGAAGGAUGACGGCCCUACGGGUUGUAAACUUCUUUUGUCAGGGAGCAAUUGGGUCCACGCGUGGGCUUAGCGAGAGUACCUGAAGAAAAAGCAUCGGCUAACUCCUGUCCAGCAGCCGCGGUAAUACGGAGGAUGCGAGCGUUAUCCGGAUUUAUUGGGUUAAAAGGCUGCGUAGGCGGAAUAUCAAGUCAGCGGUAAAAAUUCGGGGCGAAACCCCGUCGUGCCGUUGAAACUGAUGUUAUUGAGUGGGCGAGAAGUAUGCGGAAUGCGUGGUGUAGCGGUGAAAUGCAUAGAUAUCACGCAGAACUCCGAUUGCGAAGGCAGCAUACCGGCGCCCAACUGACGCUGAAGCACGAAAGCGUGGGUAUCGAACAGGAUUAGAUACCCCUGUAGUC